GGGGAGUCCGAGGGGGCGGCGGCUGCGGCUGCUGCUGCUCGAACGGCAGCGGCGGCGGCAGCGGCUCCUUCUCCGGCUCCGACUCGGACAUUCCGGCAGUCCUACCGGAGCGGCUGGGCGGAGAUGUGGCGCUGGGUAGGAGGCGCGAGGUGAAGGCGCGGGGUUUCCUAGCCAGGGAGGCGCAGGUGGGAGCCCAGCGCCGCAAAGCAGCGCCUCCAGCCCGCCCGAGCGCCCGUGGCGAGGGGCAAAGGCGCGGGACGCUACUCGCCUUGUCGACCCAGCGGACCGCUCUUGUCCCGCCUCUGGAAAGGGCGGGCGACCUGUCUCCGUCAGCCAGGUUUACCAGUAAUGGAAGCAAUGAUUCAAAGAACACUAUCUCUUCUGUGAUCCAGUUAUUCCACUGUUGGUUUGUUCAUCAUCAGUUGUGA
rnacentral:lncRNA from 11 species